AGAAGCUGCCCCUGGCUGUUGCAUUGAGAAAGGCUUUGAGGAACGCUGACUGUAGCAGGAGACAUUCUUGGCUCUGGACAAGGAGAGGAAUCCUUGAGCCCCACUCGAGGGAGCGGUUGGACAAAGGCAGAUGAGACCCAGAAUGGCAGGAAGAAAAGAAGACUGCGUGGGACCGGCCUGGGACUCUAGUGCUGACAGUCCAGGGAACAGACACUCCUCCCAGGGUGCAUCAAAGGAGACAGCUGUGCAGAACUUGGCCUUGCAGACAAAACUAAAAUGCAGUGCCAACUUCUCCUGCUUUUUGCCUGUCUGAAGUCACAGGAGACACUUCCUGGCAACAGGAUGGGGACGCUGGAGACUCUGGCACUGCAAGAGACUGUCAGGCGAGGGACGGUCCUUAGAUCCUGCAUGGGGCUUCUCGUUGUGCAGAGAGAACGCUGAGCCCCAGAGAGGGCAGCAAAGUGCCCAAGGUCACACAGCAAGCCAGGGGAUGCAGACGAAGGCAGGAACGAUGGAUCGGUCUGCUUCAUUUGGGCAGCUCCGGUCUCCUAUGCCCUCUUAUCCCCUCCUUCCCCCUACACAGAAAGGGAAAAUGUUUUUAGACCCAAGGCAAAAGAAUGUGAAACUGAAAUCUGAGCCUUGGGUCUUGGGAAAAGAACACAGGGAAGUCAGACACAUUCUGGAUGAGCACAGAUCUGCUUACACUGCAGAUGGGAAAUACUCAGGGCUAUCCAAGGCCUCCUUGUUGUGCAGGUCUGACCCGGGAGGGCGGGCUGUGUGUGAAGCGAUGGGAGCAGAGAGGGGCCCUCGAAGGAGCAGGUUAAAAGGGCCAGUCUGCUUCCAGGAUUCACCUUGGGCAGAGGGAGGACUGCUCCAGCCUUUUAGCUCCCUGCCCAGAAUCUUCUCAAGGAGCCUUAGGCUCAUGCAGGCAUUCCAGCAUGGAUCUGCCACCAGGGACCCACCAGGUCAGAAGCAGGGGUCCCUGCUGGCCACCACUUGUCCACAGCCCAAGCACCGUCCUGCCUUACCUGGAAGCUCACCUCCUCUAAGAAGGCCUUCCCUUCUGCUCCAGCCUAUAUUUGUCUUCCUCUUGUGUGAACUCCUGCAACUGGGAAGCACAGCUGCAGGCCAGAGUUUCUUUCUACCUGGGGCGUCUGGGGCUCCAAGUGACUGACAGUUGUGUAAGAAUGUGUGUGCACACAUGUGUGGGCAAAAGAGAGAUAGAGAUGGUGACAGAGAUAGAUAGAUAGAUAGAGAGAGAGAGAGAGAGAGAGAGAGUGAGUCAGGAGUGUGGACUGUGCUUUGUGUUAUCCCAGCCAUCAAGAGACUCAACCACGGACUUAUAUUCACACAUGUAACAAGCGUGGGUGUUUGUUCUUGGCCAGGUGCUGUGCAGGGUCCUGGGGAGACUGAGAUUAAUGGGACUUGGUUCCCUCCUUCCUGACACCAAGGAGCCCCAUCAAUCAUUCUCCACGAUCUGGUCUUAGACUGACUUGCCAGGCCCUUUGUGAUCUGGUCUGGCUGUUCUUGUGUCUUCAAUCUCACCCCCUUCCACGCUCUCUCUUUUACUUUUACUUCCCCUUGCUGCUGGAGGGUAUGCACACAUUGAUCUCAGGCCCUGGGGCCCGGGGUCUGGGCUGUAUCUUGAAUCCUGAGCAGCCCUGACCUGAGGUAGGGCCCACUGGUUCUGGCCUAACGGGGAAAGGGGAUGCUGUGUGUGGGUGAGACCAUGGCACUCCCAGGCUUAAAUCCCCCAUGGCUCCCCUCUGCCCUGGGAAUAACCAUGAACUUCUUCAACAUAAGCUCUCAGAAGUACUUGGCAGGGACCUGUCUGCCUCCCUGGACUCCUCCUGCUCCCUGACCUCCUUGCUUUGUGUUUUUACAAUCUUUAUGUGCUGUCCAUAUAGUUUUCUUGAAUGUGCAAUUUGUUUCCUGCUUCAGGACCUUUGCACAUGCUGGUCCUUCUUCCCGGUAUGCCCUUCCCAUCAUCUCUCCCCUUUGCCUCCUUAACCUCUAAUAUUUCGGACAGUUGCUCAAGCACCACCUCCUGCACACUCCUUCCCUGAUCCCCCAGAUCCGCUCAGGGGCCCCUGUUUGAAGCUCUCCUACACCCUGGAUUCUUUCUUCAGAGUACUCAUAAUUGUUUGUCUUUAUAUGCUUAUGAGGUUAAUAAUUUGUUCCAUGACAGGGAGUAUGUGAAGUCUGUCACAAGUAUUUCAUUCAAAUCCUGCCAACUCUGUGAGGUGGUUCCCAAUUUUAUCCCUAUUUUACAGGUGAGGCAAAGGAGGCACAGAGUGGUUAAGUGACCUUCCUGAGGUCACACAGCAAGUAAGUGGUGGAUGAAUGAAAAUAGUCUAGCAAUUUUAGCCAUGUGCCAAACAGUCAUCUACCGACUUCUCUGCAGACGUCAUGAGAGUGGGGGCUAUGUCAGUUUUACUCAUUCUCAUAUCCCAGUACCUAGUCCAGGACCUGCCAUUUGUAGCCACUCACUGAAGGGAAAAAGGGAAUGGAGGAAGGAAGUGGGAAGGAAGGAAGAAGGGGAGGAGUGGCUGGUGUGCCAGCUGUUAGAGAGACAUCCUUGAGCAGCCAUUCCUACAGGAGCGACCUCCAGAUGCCAUGUUUUCCAUCCCCCCCAAUACCCCUGCUCCAGCUCCUGGAUCCAGGAGAGCCAGUGUUCAAAACCAGUCAGUGUGCUUUCUCAAAAGAGGAUGGAAGGAGCACACUGGGAACCAAGAUGUGAGCCAGAGCACUCACAUCUGGGUUCCCAGUGUGAAGCCAGGGCAAAAGCAACAGAACCUCGGGAUUAGGGGACCCUGAAACCGUGCGUCCAGAGGUCUUCAGCUGUGGGACCUCCCUUUUCAAAAUACCUUCCCUUCCCUCUACCUCCAGCUCCCACCUCAUCUCCUUGGUGGACAAGCCUCAGCUACAGGGAAGGACUUGUCAGUGUAGUGACAGGGAACUCAUCACCUGCCUGGCUGCUCCACGCCCUCUCAGGGCAUGGAUGUGGCUGUGAAGGGGACCUUCCUUCUCUGGUCCUGAAAUCUGCACCCAGGAGGCUUCCCCUCUGCUGGGGGAGCCCAACUCCACCCAGCCUGCUCCCAGGACUGGCAUGUGCUCCUCUAGGGAUGAGGGCCCAGUCCCUUCAGCUGCUCACUGUGGGACGUACAAGGAGGCCUCACUGCCCUCUUUUGUGGCCAGGCUCCCGCCAUCCCCAGCCGCACCCAGACCGGAGCUGUCCUGAGCCAGCCGCUAUCAGGGCCGUGGGCCCAGGAGCAGGCCUGGGAGGUCAGCAAGCCUGGGAGGCUUCCACCCCAGCUCCUCCACCCCUCCUUUGAAGGGGAUCAGGUUCCCCCACAAACAUAAUUGAACAAAAAUAUGAGAGAGAAAAGGUCUUUGUUCUCCCAUUUACAGCGUCAGAAAAUAUGUAACAAAUUAGCCGUUUAUGAGGUAAGAGAGCAGGGCUGUGCGCUGCAGCGGCGAGGAGGGCUGCACAUAAGGGGGCCUUUCAGCUGACUUCAGGGGUCGGCCAGGCCGGCGGGCGCUGCGGGGGACCGGCUCGCGCUGCGGGGGAUCAGCUCUGCCCCAGGCCUGCCAGCACGGCCUGGCACCCAUGGGAUGGAGGGCUGGGAGGCCCUGGUUGACCUCUAGCUUGGACUCUGGGUUUGUCCAGUGGAAGCAUCAGCCAGUCAUUAAUUCCAGGGGAGUGAGCACGUGGAACCAGAAGGGGUGGCUGGCCAGGCAGAGGCAGCCCCUCACCAGGGAGAGCCUUGCCACAGCCUUUAACUUGCUUCACUGGGUGUCCAGAAUCACACGCUCUUUACAAGGCUGAAACUGAAGCCGCCUGAGGUCCCCGGGAGACUUGCUAAAACUUCAACUGCACCCAGUUUAGCAGAGCAACUUGAAAGUUAAUCAGCGGUGAGGGACAAUUUGCCUCAUUAUUUCCAGCCCUGGAAUUUGGCGACAGAUGGAAUUUGGGGCCUGGUGUGGACACGGCAAUGAACACAGCAAAGACUGUCGCCCCUUGGUAUGGUCUUGUGGGGUCUGGGCCUGGACGGGCUGAUAUUCCCUCUGAAGAUGGGCCAUGCCAGGAAGGAUUUCUGGCUUGAGGGAACAAGGGCAAUAAGGCUGCCCCAUCCCAGGUCCAGGCCAGUGUGGAGUAAUCCUUAGAUACACAAUUCUGAGCAUUAUUCAGGCUGAGCCCUGCACUGGAUUCUGGGGAAGCAGAGGUGGAAUCUGAUACAGUUGCAUCCAAUAUAGGAUGCAGACCAGAGACACUGGGGUAAAUUCUCACAGGAGGGGAACACCUGUGGCUGGCACCUUCUGCAUGAAUCUGCAAAAGACAAAUCUGCCCCGCUUGCCCUCACUUUCUCGAUAAGGUCCACUCAGGCCCUUGACUUUAAUGGUAACCCCCUCCCAGGCACUCCCACCUUCAUACUCUGCCACACUCUCCAUAGUACGUAGCACUGACCACCUUCUAACACACUAUGUUAGUUCCUCGCUUAUCAUGUUUAUUGUUUGUCACAUCACCUUCCACAGGAAGGUAAGACUCUCCUCCCAUGAGGGCAGGAAUGCUUGUUUUGUUCAUUACUGUAUCUCCAGCCCCAGCACAUAAAAUGCGCUCAAUAAAUGUCGUGUGAACAAAUGAA